CUCCGGUAGUAUAGACAGGUUAUUCCUAUAACGGUCAAGUAUGCUGGCCUUUCGAGUCGGUGACCCGGGUUCAAAUCCCGGCCGGAGCA
rnacentral:tRNA from 1 species